rnacentral:rRNA from 1 species
UGGGGAAUAUUGCACAAUGGGGGAAACCCUGAUGCAGCAACGCCGCGUGAGUGAAGAAGUAUUUCGGUAUGUAAAGCUCUAUCAGCAGGGAAGAAGAUGACGGUACCUGAGUAAGAAGCCCCGGCUAACUACGUGCCAGCAGCCGCGGUAAUACGUAGGGGGCAAGCGUUAUCCGGAUUUACUGGGUGUAAAGGGAGCGUAGACGGCUGCGCAAGUCUGAAGUGAAAGCCCGGGGCUCAACCCCGGGACUGCUUUGGAAACUGUGUAGCUAGAGUGCUGGAGAGGCAAGCGGAAUUCCUAGUG